CUAAUCAUCAAUCAAUUAAAAACACCUCGAGUGUAAAAGACUUUUCUAAGUUUUCUUCUUUGAUUUGGACUCCAAGCUUGCUCUAUGAUGUUGACACUCUAGGUCUUCUCAAGUUUUUAUAAGUUGUAGCGUGUCUUUGUUUUUAAUAAUAUUGUUAUUUUGUUUAUGUUUGUCUAUGUUUUAAGGAAGAAGAAGACUCUUAAUUUGCAAUCUUAGCGUUUAUAUUUAUCUAUGUUAUAAGAAAGGAAGAUUUGUGUCUUUGCAUUAUUUCCUGUCGCAUCAAUUUGGUAUCAGAGCCUUAGAUUUUAAUGUGUCUUCCUUUUUUUUCUUUAGAAAAAUUAAAAAAAAGGACAAUCCUGAUAUAAUAGAACCUGUUGUUUACAAAAAUCGUGAAGACAAAAUUCCAACAAGCAGAUGGAUCCCGUCCUAAGGAAGUUCUACAGAUCCAAUCUAGAAUGAGUUAUGCAAAAUUCAAGAAAAAAUGUUUUUUUGUGCCGAAAGAACUGAGAAGAGAAAGAGUCAACUUCAAGCCCAAUUUAUUCAAGAAAAAUAAAUGAUUCAAAAGAAAGUAUGUGGCUCUAAUAUAGGAGUUGGAUAUGGCUUAGUCUGCGCAUGAUAGAAGUUCAGAAUCUAUCUCAUCAGGAGAUAGAGAUUUUUCCACAAAGGGAGAAUUGAUAUAGGCAAAAGUUUCAAUUUUUUCUUAAUAUGCAUUUAUUGGUGGGCUGUUUUUUCUUUUAUUGGGCUGGGCCCAUUUGUCCUUGGCUGCUUGGUGUUUGGAGGUCACGACUGAUGGGUUUCUUUGGUUGUUUGGUUUUUGGGCUGGCUGUUGGGUUGCCUUGCUGCUCGGUUCUGGGCUGGCCGUGCCUUGCCCUUGGUGUCUGUUGGGUUUCCUGGCUGUUUGGUUCCUAGACUGGCUGUUGGAAUGCCUGGCUGCUCGGUUCCUUGGCUGGUCGUGCCUUGUUCUUUGGUUUUUUUCCCCUGUUUGGAUUGGUUGCUUGGGUGGCACUUGUGGGAGGCUGUUUGUAUUCUUUUUCCCUAUUUAUAGUGACUGUUUGUUGCUAUUUAAGGAGGGUUUUUAGAGAUGAAAAAUUGUGGAAUGUAAAACCUGCAGGUUUUUUGCUUGCGAGCUAGCCUCCUUUCCCCUUCCACUCUUGUAUUUCAUCUUGGAAUUAUAACUCCUCUCCACGGUUUUCAAACUCUACAUGUAUCCUUCUUCACAAGUUUUUAUAAGUUGUAGUGUGUCUUUGUUUUUAAUAAUAUUGUUAUAUUGUUUAUGUUUGUUUAUAUUUUAAGGAAGAAGUUGUCUCUUAAUUUGCAAUCUUAGUGUUUAUAUUUAUCUAUUUUGUAAGAAAGGAAGAUUUGUGUCUUUGCACUAUUUUCUGUCACAUCACCUUGUUUCUGCUUGGACUUAUCUCUUUGAAGUUCUUUGCUUUCGUUGCUCCUUGUUCUUCUUCUUGCCUUGAUAUGCCUCGUUGAUGCGUUCUUUCUUUUUGAGUAAUUGCACCUUACUCUCUCUCUCUCUCCCCUUUUCCCUUGGCUUGAGCAAGAAAGAGAUGUUAUUCUAGUGAGAGAGAGGGCGGUUGGCUUUAUCUUGUUCAGAGAGGUCAAUGAUGGCCUAAAUUUGCAAGAUGGUGUAAGGUUGGAUAGCUAAUGAGAAGGAGAGGAGGAGAGACUUAUUAAUUCAUGAGUAGAAUUGGAAUUCAUCUGAAUUUAAUUUUUUAGGUGCAAGCUCCUAUUUAUAGGAAACAAAACUCUAGGAUAGAGAAGAUAAUUGUUAAGAAUUAUUCUCAAUCUCAUUCAUGAUAAAUAAAUUAUCAGAUUGGAAAGGCCCUUUAUUUUGAUAACCUUUACAUCUAGGUUAAUGAGUUAUACAUUUUCUAUUUAAAUUCAAUCUUUCGACUCCCCCUUUAGUGGUUGGUCAUAUGGUAUUUGGGUUGAUUUUUGGAGAUGGAAUCUUGGAUUUUGUUAGAUUCCUCUUGAAUUUGAAGGUGCACUACCUUUUUUUUUGGAUAUGGUGGCCAACCUUACAUGUUUAGGAGUUUGUUUUACAUUUUAAAUCAUGUCCCUUGAAUUUAAUGCUGCCUUUCCUUGCUUGCAUGGAGCCUAUUAUGCUUUAUGAACCCAAUGUGACAUAUAGGCUUAAGUUGGGUCUAACAGUUAGGCUUGAUUUCUGUGUAAUAUUAUUAUGACUUUUUCUUGAUUUAUGGUUAACCAAGUGUUGGUGCACCCUUUUGGUCCCUGUAUUUGAUUUGGAUUGCUAAUUAACCAAUAUUAAGUUAUAUAAAAGAACCACAAGGAUCAUGACCCUCCCUUUGGAGUUCAUUUGCUCUUGCAAAUCAACGUUAGUUUGAAUGCAAAUAUAAUUUGUAUUUGACCCCUCAAUUGUGUAGUUAAACCAUAUAACAUUAAAGUUCCCAUGAAAUAUAACUAAUUGAUGUGACAUGUCCAAAUUUAGCAGUAUUUACCAUUUGUGUAGCUUACCACUCAUGGUGUUGGAUUUGUCCCAAGGAAGAUGGCAGUCAUAAAUGUUGUUAAGACUAAAAUCUUUCUAUUUUGUAAUAACCUCCUAUUUGUGGAGAAAUUAUUACUUGCGUACAUUGAACGUAGAGCUACAUUCAGACUCCAAUGAAAAUAUGACGCGUGUGGACGUAUUAUUGUGUAUUGAUGUGCAUUAGCUAGUACACAAUAAUACACACUAAUACACAAUUACACAUUAAAUUCACAAUAAUAAAUAGCAAUACCUAAUAAUACACUAGUACUCGCAUCAUAUUUUCAUUGGAGUUUGAACAUAAUUCUAUGUCCGGUGUCCGCAAGUAAUAAUUUCUCCAAAUUGUGGGAUCGACCCCCAAGAAACUGACUAAUGAGGUUUUGUUGGACUAAUCUAAAGCAGGAAUAAUACUUAUCCUUUUUGUAAUGCAUUGUGUCCCUCAAACGUGGGUGGCCCAAUGUGGCGUGGUACCACACUGCUUGAGUGGUAGUGAUAUUAGACAUUUUUUAGCACCUUUUGAGCUUUCUUGAUCCUCAUGAACGUUGGCUCUCUUCGAAGGAAGAUUAAAUUUGCAUAAUUGGAUUGACCAUUAUAUCUUCAUGCUUCUUGAUGGCAGUUGAAUUGUUAUAAUUGCGGUUUGCCUAGAUUAGAGAGAUUUUUCUUAAAGAUGACAUUUUUCUUGUUCUUAGUUGGUUAUUCUCCUUUUUUUCCUUGCUUUCCUUGAUUCUUGGUCCUCUCGUUGUUAUGACAUGCCUCGUUAUUUUCUCCCUUUGUGAUGAAGCUUGGCUUGGUUAGGAUUAUAUUGUAUUUGGGGAACAAGGGAGGGCCAUGAGAAUUUUGUCUAGUAUCUUUUCCCCUUUAGUAGCUAAUAAUACGGUGGCUGGAGUAAUUUGUGAGCCUGAAAAUCUUAAUUAUCUUGAAGUCAUCCUACUGAAUUUGAAAAAAGGAUUUUCUUUCUUCUUGAUUAUUUAGUGGUUCAUCUCUAUACAUGUGGAAGUUGAUUUUGCAUUUUAAAUUAUGCCCUUUGAAUAUCAUGUAACACCUAAUGUAGUUUUCAUGUAAUCUCUUGUAUUCCACGAGUUUGAAAUUAGGUUUGACUUUGGGUCUAACAAGGUCUUGAUGCGCUCAUCCCACUGAAAAUCUUUUUUUUUUCUCAUGAUGCGCUCUGCUAAGGUUUGGAGUUUUGCACCGUCUCCUUCGUUGCGUGGUUUCGUUGCCGCCUCAAGGAAGAUUUCUCUCCUCUCUCAGUAAUUUUUCUGCUGCUUUUUUCUAUCAUGGAGGGCAAAAGGCUUUUGGAUCCUGGUUUUUUGUCUGGUUCCCCUUCUUCUCGGUCUUUUCGUGAGGUUUUAGCGGGUUCUUCUAAAGCUUCGAUCUCUUCUUAUCCUGAUCUUAAGAUCUCGUCUUUUAGAGGGCUUCCUUCACUUUGGAUUUCUGAUGAGGAGGUGCUAGCCCUAGUUGCUUCUUUUGAGUUUGCACUUGUUGGAAAAUUUCCGACCCAUCGUCCGUCGUUGGAAGCGAUUCGUAAUUUUUUUUUCAAUCUCAAACUUAAUGGAGUUUUCUCUGUCGCUGUUCUCAACCCUAAGCAUAUUCUAAUCAAGCUGGAAAAUGACUUGGAUUAUUGUCGAGUUUUCUCUCAUCGUUCUUAUUUUGUGAACAAUUGUUUCAUGAAGGUUUUCAAAUGGUCCCCUACAUUUGACAUUGAUGUCGAAUCCCCUACUAUACCAAUUUGGAUUUCCUUUCCUAAUCUUAGGCCUCACCUCUUUGCCCCGAGAGUUUUGCAAGGGCUUGGCUCCAUGUUUGGUAAGCUUCUAAAAAUUGAUCAGGCGACUUCCACUGGUAGGCGGCCUUCAGUUGCUCGGGUUCUGGUGGAAUUAGAUGUUACAAAGAUUUAUCCUGAUAAAAUUUGGGUUGGAUCCGAGACUUUAGGCUAUAUUCAAUCGGUUAAUAUGGAGCCCUUUUCUGUUUAUUGCUCGCAUUGUAAAUCCCUAGGUCAUUCUAAACCUGAAUGCCCUGUUCUUCACCCUCUGCCCAAUCAUGUGGCUGCCCCUAUUAUUGCUGAGGUGCCUUCUAUUAAUUUGGAUUGUGGUUUUCAUGAUUCCUUACCUCCUGCGGCUCCUGCUAUUUUGAUUCAUGGAAAUGGUGGUUUGGCUGUUAAUUCUGCUAUUGAUAAUGUGGAUGAGGAAGUUUGUGUUUCUAGUUCUCCUUUGCCUAUUCGGGAUGUUGUAUUGUCUCCAGUGCCUGUGGCACACUCUUUAGAUUUGCCUGCUUGCGCUUCUGUCCCUGCUGUUGUGGUCAAUUUGGAUGAUUUGGAUAAUGCUGUGGUCGACGUAUUGUCUCAUUCGGGUGGUGGUGUUAUUGGUGUUGAUGCUGUCGCUCUUUUAUCCCAUGAUGCUCAACCUUUUCUUCCUCAACUUGUCGCCCCUCGUGCGUGUCUUAGUGCUGAGGUCCCUGGUUGUGUUGGUUAUGUUUUGUCUGGGAGGUCAGCACUGCCUGUUUUGGCUAGUACUACGUUAGAGCCGUUGGAUUUGGAUUGCCCGAAUGCGACGAAUCCUGCUCCUGUUAAUUUGGAUGCGGGUGUUUGUGUGGUUUCUAUGUCUGCAACCUCUAGCUCGCCUCCAGUUUUGAAUGACUGUAUAGUCAAUAACAAUUUUGUGGAUGUCUAUGUUAAUUUAAUUGAUUCUAAGAGCUUAGUGUAUUAUGUGGGGGACAAUUCAGGCAUUGACGUGUUCGUGUGCAUUUGGACUGGCUUCAUGGUUCAUCUGUUAAUGGGUCUGAUUCUGGUUCUUUGGAUUCGAGUGGGGAUGACUACCCAGGGAACCCUUUUAACAUUUUACGUGAUAAAACUCUUGUUUCUGUUGCCUCUCGUGGUAGGGCUCGUGGGAGGGGCAGACGUGGCCGGUGAUGUUUUCUUGUUGGUUGCUUACCAGGUUUUUUGGCUUUUGGUUGCUUUUUGGGGGCUAUGUUCUGUCCCCUUGGAGUAGGCUUAUGGCUUGCUUGAGUUUUUGUUGUGUCGUGGGCUUGUUUGUUGGUUUGGUUGCCCAUUCAAGUUUUAUUAUAUGGACGAUGAGGAAGCAGCGCUGCUACAAGCGUCGUGGAUGGCCAGGGUUGGUGGCAACCUGGGUGGCCCUUUUCGUUCUCUUGGCAGCUUCUCAUUUGUGAAUUUCUUUUCUCCCAUGGAUGGCCCCUCUCUGGCAACCCGACGUUGGUCUGAGUCCGCGUCUUCCGUUUCAUAUCCCUUUUUUCCCUUAUUUUGGGUUUUUUGAGGUUUUAAUUGUAAGCUAUUGCUGUGGCCCGGUGUGGGGUCUUUGAUUGUACCUUUCCUAUUUUAAUGUAUUUCCUUUUAUUUUUUUUAAAAAAAAGCUAGGGCUUGAUAUUGGGCACUCCAAUUCGUGAGGCUAAAAUGUUAGGUUUGGGUCUAACUAGGGCUUAGAUUUUGGGCUUGAUUCUACAGUUAACCUUGCAUUGGUGCACACAUUUUCGGGUGAGUAAAAAGGCGUUGCAGUUGCUUUGUAAAAAUAAUCUGGUGUAGAUAUGUAAGGAAAUAAAUCUUCUGGCGUAAUGAAAUCUGAAUUAGAACAAGGAACAACACAUGAAUAUGUUGCGCUUGAACAAUCAAAGUUAUAAUCAUCUUACAUAAUCAUCAUUAUCCUUAUCCUAAUAUUUGUGGUCAGCUUUCUGAGUCCUUAACUCCGUCCAUUCUUAUAUUUGGCCUAAUAUUUCUUUUUAGGAUUUCUACCUUCAUCAUUUUAUCUUUCUGUUUUUCUUUUGGAUCUUUGAAUCCUUUUACAUUAAUUUUAUUUGCUUGUCUCAUAAGCAUAUCAUUUACUUUCUAUUGUAUAUAAAUGAAUAACCCAAAUUUAUUUUCCACUAUGUAUUCUUUAUGGGUAAAACUCUUAUUUCUUCUAAAUUAAUUAUUUCUUAAUCUUUUUAAUUUACUGUAAUAAUCUUUAUAUUAUCGAUUCUAUUAUGCCCAGUUUCACUAUAAAUGGAAUUUUUUAUUACGAGGGCUUGGAUUCACAUGCUCUUUAAUUUUUUAAUUUUUCCCUUAUUAGUAGAGGUUUCAUAAAUUAGAAGUAUGGCAUCCGAAUAUAACAUAUAAUAAGGUUGCCAUUCAUUUAUGGUAUUUUUUUAUACAUUUCCAUAACCAAUGCAGAACUAUCAUACUUGUUGUGGAUUAUUGAGGAAGCUUUCGUUAUAUAUAUAUGGAGAGAAGUGAUUUUAUUUUGGUCCAAUUGUAAGUUUUCAUGCUUUAAGCAGAAGCUGGACGUUCUGGAUUGAACUUUGGUGAAAACUUCUGAUUCAAACUUCUAAAGGGCAACUUUCUAGAAUGCAAGAAUUUACAAACCGGCAUUUGAGUCCAUGGGAGUACCCAAUUGGAGAGGCUAAAAUGUUAGGCUCUUGAUCUUGGAAGGGUUACAAAGUCUGAUGGCUGCAUAGUUGAGGAUAUAUGGCAGGCACUUGCCAAAGGAAAGUACAAAGAAUGGGAACUUCAAUCCAGCAAGCGAGCUUGGCGUCUGCAGAAACUGA